UUUGGGUUCACAUACUAAAACUCCAGUCCUGGCAUUCACAUGAAAAGUUCAGACUACGUUUGGGUUGGGGCCGGAGGGACUGCAGCAAGCUAGCACAAGCAUAGGUGACCCACACAAGGUGCCUUAAGAUAACACAAGGAUUGAGCACACACCAAAAAAGGAAAGAAAAGAAAAGGAUUAAGCACAAAGUCUCCAGCUGCCCUGGACACAACUGGAGAGACAGGCAAGCUAGAGGAGCAAGAUGACUGAGACUGACCUUGCCGUCAUACUCCCGGCGAGAGAGCACCUCCGGAGCGAUGUACGCGGGAGUCCCGACCGUCGACUUCGGCUUUGAGUGCAGCAGUGAUGACUGACCACAAAAACAUUCGCAAAAAGAACGGUCUUAGUACGCGUAAGUAACCCACUAUAGAGCUAAAUUAAAGAGCAAUAAAUACGAUAUUUUCGUAAGUCUAAGUGUUCUUUUUGCCA